rnacentral:lncRNA from 1 species
GGUUUGGGUGCAAAGUUGGGUUUGUUCGGCGAUGCAGAAUAUAUACGUUGAAUGUAACGUUGUUCGACGUCUGUCGGCGUGGCGGAGUUGGUUGGGGAGCUUGUUUCGCGGAUAUGAUGAGAUCGCGGGUUCGCGUCUCAUUAUUCCAUAUUUUUUUUUUUUUUAUUAUUUUGUUUUGGUCGUUUUAGGAUGUGUGAUUGGUACUUUUUUGUGCAUUAUUGUUGUUUUUGAAGUUUAUUCCGUUUUGUUCAAGCGAUUUAAAUAAUAUGAAAACAUAAUUUGCAUAGUUAUCGAUAGAACGCUAUUUUACAUAUUUUAUUUUCAUACAAAAAAAAAAUUUUGUACCCUGAU